rnacentral:rRNA from 1 species
UGGUGGAGUGAUUUGUCUGGUUAAUUCCGUUAACGAACGAGACCUCGACCUGCUAAAUAGUUCGGCCAAGUCUUCGGACUUGGUACGUGACUUCUUAGAGGGACUAUCGGUGUGUAGCCGAUGGAAGUUCGAGGCAAUAACA